rnacentral:rRNA from 1 species
UACGUAGGGGGGCAAGCGUUGUCCGGAAUCAUUGGGCGUAAAGAGCGUGUAGGCGGCCCGAUAAGUCCGCCGUGAAAGUCCAGGGCUCAACCCUGGAAUGCCGGUGGAAACUGUCGGGCUGGAGUCCGGAAGAGGCGAGUGGAAUUCCUGGUGUAGCGGUGAAAUGCGCAGAUAUCAGGAGGAACACCGAUGGCGAAGGCAGGUCUCUGGGCCGACUACUGACGCUGGAGAAGCGAAAGCAUGGGGAGCGAACAGG